GUGAGGAAUAUUGGUCAAUGGGCGCAAGCCUGAACCAGCCAUGCCGCGUGCAGGAAGACGGUCCUAUGGAUUGUAAACUGCUUUUAUUGGGGAAUAAACCUUUCUACGUGUAGGAAGCUGAAGGUACCCAAAGAAUAAGCACCGGCUAACUCCGUGCCAGCAGCCGCGGUAAUACGGAGGGUGCAAGCGUUAUCCGGAAUCAUUGGGUUUAAAGGGUCCGCAGGCGGGCUAUCAAGUCAGAGGUGAAAUCCCACAGCUUAACUGUGGAACUGCCUUUGAAACUGAUGGUCUUGAAUUAAGUGGGCGUUGGCGGAAUAUGACAUGUAGCGGUGAAAUGCAUAGAUAUGUCAUGGAACACCGAAAGCGAAGGCAGCUAACGAUACUUAUAUUGACGCUCAUGGACGAAAGCGUGGGUAGCGAACAGGAUUAGAUACCCGAGUAGUCC
rnacentral:rRNA from 1 species